rnacentral:rRNA from 1 species
GAUGAACGCUGGCGGCGUGCCUAACACAUGCAAGUCGAGCGGGAUCUUGCUAAAUGACGCUUCGGUUGAUUUUAGUAAGUGAGAGCGGCGGACGGGUGAGUAACGCGUAGGCAACCUGCCCUUUGCAGAGGGAUAGCCAUUGGAAACGACUGCUAAUACCGCAUAAGCGCACAGAGCUGCAUAUAUUAAUGAGGAAAGUUGAGAAAGCGCAAGAAGAUGGGCUCAUGGCGCAUUAGCUAGUUGGUGGGGUAAUGGCCUACCAAGGCAACGAUGCGUAGCCGACCUGAGAGGGUGAACGGCCACACUGGAACUGAGACACGGUCCAGACUCCUACGGGAGGCAGCAGUAGGGAAUUUUCGGCAAUGGGCGAAAGCCUGACCGAGCAAUGCCGCGUGAAUGAUGAAGGUCUUCGGAUUGUAAAGUUCUUUUGCGUAGGGAAGAAAAACUAGUGAAGAGCAGUAUAUUGACGGU